UCCCGUAGUAUCAGUUCUGGA
rnacentral:piRNA from 1 species